GCUUUGGUGGCCUAAGUGGUUAGAGCAUCAGCCUCAGAUGCAUGAGGUUGUGGGUUCGAACCCCAGCUGAGUCA